rnacentral:rRNA from 1 species
GACGAACGCUGGCGGCGUGCUUAACACAUGCAAGUCGAACGGUGAAGCGCCUUCCUUUUUGGUGGGUGUGGAUGAGUGGCGAACGGGUGAGUAACACGUGAGUAACCUGCCCCCUUCUUCUGGAUAACCGCAUGAAAGUGUGGCUAAUACGGGAUAUUCUGGGUCUGUCGCAUGAUGGGUCUGGGAAAGAUAUUGUUUCGGUGGGGGAUGGGCUCGCGGCCUAUCAGCUUGUUGGUGGGGUGAUGGCCUACCAAGGCGGUGACGGGUAGCCGGCCUGAGAGGGUGAACGGUCACACUGGGACUGAGACACGGCCCCGACUCCUACGGGAGGCAGCAGUGGGGAAUAUUGCACAAUGGGCGCAAGCCUGAUGCAGCGACGCCGCGUGAGGGAUGGAGGCCUUCGGGUUGUGAACCUCUUUCGCCAGUGAAGCAGGCCUGCCUCGUUUGUGGGUGGGUUGACGGUAGCUGGAUAAGAAGCGCCGGCUAACUACGUG